rnacentral:rRNA from 1 species
AUGCCACUAGUUUGGGAGAGUGAGAGGGAAAGGAGGGCAUUCCUCGCGGAACAUAAACGCAUGGGUGAUGUGCAUCGGGAGGAGUUAGCCGCAAGACUUGAAGCACAAGAGAGAGCAUUUGAAGAGAUACAAAAGAAGCAGCAAGAAGAAUUGGAAGCUCUAAAGAAGAUCCAACAAGAGAAGAAUGAAGCCUAG